rnacentral:rRNA from 1 species
UACGGAGGGUGCGAGCGUUGUCCGGAAUCAUUGGGCGUAAAGGGCGCGUAGGUGGCACGAUCAGCGUGCGGUGAAAGCUCGGGGCUCAACCCCGGGUCGGCCGUGCGAACUGGGCUCACUGGAGCAUAGUAGAGGCAGGUGGAAUUCCGGGUGUAGCGGUGGAAUGCGUAGAGAUCCGGAAGAACACCGGUGGCGAAGGCGGCCUGCUGGGCUAUGGCUGACACUGAGGCGCGACAGCGUGGGGAGCAAACAGG